GUGGUUAGGCACAAAAUGACUGUUCUUUUUUCUGAUUUUUGACCAACAAACAGUUGUAUGCCAUUUUCAAGUAUGGAUUUCAACAGUGCUGGAUCUUAUUUAUUCUUCUGGCGGUCACUGAUGUUAUUGUAAGAUGGUGUUCGAAAUUUAAAAUAGGGAGCUAAAAAAUCGCAGUUUGUUUUCCUGAAUGCUGCGGACUUUCAAAAGGCCUUUGAUUGUUCACUUACGUACUAUAUAGUGUUCUGAGCAUUCAGUGAGUAAGUGUUUAGUGGAGCAUGAGAAGUAACUGCUUCUUUGGAUUACUGGAUCUAUUUUGACUUUCAUUUCUGGAGGGAAAUAUCUAGCUGCAGCGAAAUACUCAGAGAAAUGCCGUGCUCCAUUUUUCAGAUAAAUCCCUGGAUUCAGAGAGAAAAGAUCUGCUAAAGAGGUGUUCAUUUCCAUCCUCUUUCGAAUAUUCCAUACAAGCUAAUCACAAGGUAUCUCGAUUCGUCAAUCCCUUAUACAACAGAUAUUUCAG